AACGUAGGAGGCAAGCGUUAUCCGGAGUUACUGGGCGUAAAGCGCGUGUAGGUGGAUCGGUAAGUUACUUAUAAAGGCUCCUGGCUAAACUAGGAGAGGUUGAGUGAUACUGCCAGUCUUGAAUAGAGGAGAGGUUGACGGAAUUCCGCGUGUAGUGGUGAAAUGCGUAGAGAUGCGGAAGAACACCAGUGGCGAAGGCGGUCAACUGGCCUCAUAUUGACACUCAGACGCGAAGGCAUGGGUAGCGAACGGG
rnacentral:rRNA from 1 species